rnacentral:rRNA from 1 species
CGCCGGCGACCGGCGCACGGGUGAGUAACACGUAUGCAACCUGCCCUCUUCAGGGGGACAACCUUCCGAAAGGAGGCUAAUCCCGCGUAUAUCGGUUUCGGGCAUCCGAGAUCGAGGAAAGAUUCAUCGGAAGAGGAUGGGCAUGCGGCGCAUUAGCUAGACGGCGGGGUAACGGCCCACCGUGGCGACGAUGCGUAGGGGUUCUGAGAGGAAGGUCCCCCACACUGGUACUGAGACACGGACCAGACUCCUACGGAAGGCAGCAG